UUAAGAUACUAAGAGCAUACGGUGGAUGCCUUGGCGAUAUCUGCCGACGAAGGACGUGACAAGCUGCGAAAAGCUGCGGAGAGAUGCAAAUAAUCGUUGACCCGCAGACAUCCGAAUGGAGCAAUCCGGCUGUGAUGAUGCACAGCCAUCCAUGCCCAAGAGCAUGAGAAGGGAACCGGGCGAACUGAAACAUCUAAGUAGCCCGAGGAAAAGAAAUCAAACGAGAUACCCCAAGUAGCGGCGAGCGAACAGGGAAGAAGCCCAAACCGGUGAAGGAAACUUUACCGGGGUUGAGGACCAUCAGAACCGCGAAGAACUUUAGCCGAAACUGUUGGGAAACAGUGCCAAAGACAGUGAAAGCCUGGUAGGCGAAAAAGAGAAACGCGGAGAUGGCACCAGAGUACCGCGGGACACGAGAAAUCCCGUGGGAAGCAGGGGGGACCACCCUCCAAGGCAAAACACAGAUAUCGACCGAUAGCGCAUAGUACCAUGAGGGAAAGGUGAAAAGCACCCCGGGAGGGGAAUGAAAGAGAACCUGAAACCGUAUGUUUACAAGCAGUCGGAGACCGCUUAAUAAUAAGGUCGACGGCGUGCCUAUUGAAGAAUGAACCGGCGAGUUACGAAGCCUGGCAAGGUUAAGCAGGAAAUGCGGAGCCGAAGCGAAAGCGAGUCUUAAGAGGGCGCAAGUCAGGAAGCGUAGACCCGAAACCACAGUGAUCUACCCAUGUCCAGGUUGAAACACAGGUAAAAAUGUGUGGAGGACCGAACCUAUAUCCGUUGAAAAGGGUUAGGAUGAGGUGUGGGUAGGGGUGAAAUUCCAAUCGAACGUGGAGAUAGCUGGUUCUCCCCGAAAUAGCUUUAGGGCUAGCCUCAGGGAAAAGAUUGCAGGCGGUAGAGCACUGAUCAGGAGAGGGACCUACCCGGUUACCAAACCCAGUCAAACUCCGAAUGGCUGCAAUCAUACCUGGGAGUCAGACUGCGACUAAUAAGGGCCGCAGUCAAAAGGGAAACAGCCCAGACCAUCAGCUAAGGUCCCCAAUGCCGUGCUAAGUGGCGAAGGAUGUGGCAUUUCAUAAACAACCAGGAUGUUGGCUCAGAAGCAGCCACCAUUUAAAGAGUGCGUAAUAGCUCACUGGUCGAGAGACGCUGCGCCGAAAAUGUCCGGGGCUCAAGCACGGAACCGAAGCUAUGGCAUGAUAGCAAUAUCAUGGGUAGGGGAGCGUUCUUAUAAGGAAGAAGCAUGACCGGAAGGACAUGUGGACGAAUAAGAAGUGAGAAUGCCGGUAUGAGUAUCGAAAAGAAAGGUGAGAAUCCUUUCCACCGAAAGCCCGAGGGUUCCUGAGCAACGAUCGUCGACUCAGGGUAAGUCGGGACCUAAGCCGAGGCGAGAAGCGUAGGCGAUGGACAACAGGUUGAAAUUCCUGUACCGGAUCAAGUCGAUCGAGCGAAGGAGCGACGCAGGAGGGCACAUGAUCGCGCGGCUGGAAGAGCGCGUCCAAGUGCGUAUGUUGCAGCAGAGGAAAACCCCUGCAGCUAAAAGCAGAGACAUGAUGGGGAGUUAAAGGAAACUUUGACGAACUCAUGGAUCCCACACUGCCAAGAAAAACUUCUAGCGAGACAAGAUCCGCCCGUACCGUAAACCGACACAGGUAGGCGGGGAGAGAAUCCUAAGGUGCGCGGGAAAACCCUCGUUAAGGAACUCGGCAAAUUGCAUCCGUAACCUAGGGAGAAGGAUGGCCCCCUGUCAGUGAAGAGCAGAAACGCUCAGAGCUAAAAGGGGCGGCAGAAAAGAGGCCCAAGCAACUGUUUACCAAAAACACAGGUGCCUGCGAAAGCGAAAGCUGAAGUAUAGGUGCUGACGCCUGCCCGGUGCCGGAAGGUUAAGGAGAGGUGUGAGCGAAAGCGAAGCAUCGAACUGAAGCCCCGGUGAACGGCGGCCGUAACUAUAACGGUCCUAAGGUAGCGAAAUUCCUUGUCGGGUAAGUUCCGACCCGCAUGAAAGGCGUAAUGAUUUGGGCACUGUCUCAACGAGGGGCCCGGUGAAAUUGAAAUACCUGUGAAGAUGCAGGUUACCCGCGACUGGACAGAAAGACCCCAUGGAGCUUCACUGCAGCUUGAGAUUGAAUCCCGGUGACAGAUGCACAGGAUAGGUGGGAGGCGCCGAAGCAUUGCCCUAGGGCGGUGCGGAGCCGAUGUUGGGAUACCACCCUUCUGUUGCUGAGAUUCUAACGCGAGGAGUAACGACCCUGCGGACCCUCUCAGGCAGGCGGUUUGACUGGGGCGGUCGCCUCCGAAAGAGUAA
rnacentral:rRNA from 1 species